AUUGAACGCUAGCGGGAUGCUUUACACAUGCAAGUCGAACGAGUGGCGGACGGGUGAGUAAUAUAUCGGAACGUGCCCAAUAGAGGGGGAUAACUACUCGAAAGAGUAGCUAAUACCGCAUACUAUUGGAUGUGCCGAUAUCGGAUUAGCUAGUUGGUGGGGUAAAGGCUCACCAAGGCGACGAUCCGUAGCUGGUUUGAGAGGAUGACCAGCCACACUGGGACUGAGACACGGCCCAGACUCCUACGGGAGGCAGCAGUGGGGAAUUUUGGACAAUGGGGGAAACCCUGAUCCAGCCAUCCCGCGUGUAUGAGAAGGCCUUCGGGUUGUAAAGUACUUUUGGCAGGGAAGCGUUAUCUGCAGAAUAAGCACCGGCUAACUACGUGCCAGCCGCCGCGGUAAUUC
rnacentral:rRNA from 1 species